ACAAAACAGACCCGUGGGCCGACAACAUCGACAACAAACACUACAAAAAGGGGGACAAAUUAAGUCCCAUGAAAUUACGUGGACAUCCGCGCCAGCCGACAUUUUAUUUUUCUUCAUCCCCUUUCGAUCCAUCCGUCUCUUUUCUACCAUCAUAUCUAUCUGCAUUGUCGCCAACACAAUAAAAAGGUGAGUAACAUAUUUCUUCGCGCAGUUGAGACACAGAGAGCGGUCAAGAUGAACACACAAAACCCUGUUGAGCAACAACGAUAUCGAAGUUGCUGGGAGGCUUGUAUUCAAACACUGAAAAUUCUGAACUGCUCUUUGUGUCUUUGCGUUUUCAUCAAUCAGCUGAAGACAAGAGACAUGUGCUGAUGCUUUUAAAUCAUAGUUGAUUUUUGGCAUAUGUUACACGAGGCCUUAUCUAGACGUUGAUAUGCAAUCCUGCUUCCAUGCUGUCUGUUUCUAAUGACCUUUAUCCUCAGCCACUUGUACCAUCGUCCAAUCUGUUACCCUCGUGAAAGUGUUGUGACAGCUUUUUGAUUCUCACGAAUGGAAGCAGCGGGGCGCCAUGCUUGACAGCGCCUUCUGACAUUGCCAAUAUAGUGGUUACAGCGGCGCGACCACUGCGGUGAAGUCGGGAUAUCACCUUUUGUAGCACGGCGAUGCUGUCGAAAGGUUCAUCAGUAAUUCAUCUUCGAAUCAAAUCUGACCAGCAUCAAUGGGUAUAUCAGUGUUGAGUAUAGUUGAACCUUUUAACCGGUGGAAUUGACACAUCGGUCUCAGACCAUAAUAAUAGUAUUUACUGAAUGAUGUGAUUCUCUGGGCU